rnacentral:rRNA from 1 species
UACAGAGGUCUCAAGCGUUGUUCGGAUUCAUUGGGCGUAAAGGGUGUGUAGGUGGCGCCGUAAGUCGGGUGUGAAAUUUCGGAGCUUUAACUCCGAAACUGCAUUCGAUACUGCGGUGCUUGAGGACUGGAGAGGAGACUGGAAUUCAUGGUGUAGCAGUGAAAUGCGUAGAGAUCAUGAGGAAGACCAGUGGCGAAGGCGGGUCUCUGGACAGUUCCUGACACUGAGACACGAAGGCCAGGGGAGCAAACGGG